ensembl:lncRNA
AUGAACCGCACCACCAGCAACCUGCGCAUGGGCUUUGGAGCUUUUGUGGACAAGCCGCUCUCACCUUACAUGUACAUUUCACCAAAAGAGGCUGUAAAGAACCCCUGCUACAGGUAAAUCUAAGAUAAAAUCAUGGGUUUAAACCAGAUCUGGUGUUGUUUCCCCAUAAUGUUUUUUCACGCUUCAUAUGUCACCACCGGUGUUGAUUUCAGUGGUUUCAGUAUUUACGUCUGCGUGUGUUAAGUACCUGCAUUACGCAGAUGAUGUCAGUCUUGUGAAGACAUAUUUAAACACAGCGUUGCUCAGCAAUAACGCGAGCAGUCUCGGAGCCUCAGCACUUGUUAAAGGCUCAAUGUGGCUCCUAAGUGCUUGGUCAGCUCCUGUGAAUCAGCCACAGGUAAUCUACUCAGGGAGGAAGAGCAUCCCAGUGCCAUAAGUGCAGCCAGAGGCUCCUGUGACGUUGAUUUGCUUUCCCGCUCAUGUAAAGUGAGACCCAGACUGUAGGAAUGUUUUGAUAAAAGAUAAGAAAAGUGAAGAAUUUAUAGUAGGCUGCAGCAGAAAGGGAGAGCGAGAGGAGGGUACGUUCACAGUAAAGAGAGUUUUUUAUAUGAAUUAUGAACAAAGGAGAAAUCUCUUAAAGGUUUAUUGUUUUUUUUUUGUUUUUCCUUUUGCCCAUGCCAGGUUAUUUGAUGGCUUUCGGAUGACGCUGUAAUUUGGUUGUUGGUCAAAAACUGACAUGCAUGAGACCAACAGUGCCCAGACUUUACCGCUCACAACUCUAGACUUAUAUACAACUUAUAGCAUCCACAGUUUUCAAGAUAUCAUUUUCAAAUUUUGUGUGAUGGUAGAUAUCAAUAAAAGCUCAAGAUGAUUUAAUUUUGUUGAAAAUCUUGUCAAGGUCACAACAAAUGUCAAAAUCAAUUAAAAAAAAUUGUAUUACUCACAUGUUUUUAAUGGCUCUUCAUCAAACUUCACAACUCUAUGCUAGCGCUUGGGGGCGAAGAUUUGACCUUGACCUUCAUUGUUAGCACCUAAGGUUAGCGAUAGCUUAAAAAAUUUUCAAGAACCCACAUUGAAUAUUACAUCAUAAGAACGGGCAUGGAGAGAACUGUACAACACACAUUUUAUUGUUUCAAUUAUGACACCCUACAAUUUCACAAUGAUACCAUAAAGUUUGGCAAAAUCAUACACUGCAUGACUAUAGCUUAAAAUCUCAAGUUUUUGCAGCUUAUAGAUUCCAGCAAAUUCUGCUCCUAUUGUAUGGGUAAAGAUAAAUACACCAUUUUAGUAUGUAAUGGUUCAAGGUCGUAGCUCAUAGGUCAAAGGUUAGGGUCACUCAGAUUAAGAAAAAGCUUUAGUUUCCAUUGGAUCAUCUCCAGACUAUUAGUCAUUGUAGCACAUAAGCAUUCUCUAUAUCUGAGCUUUUUAAAGCAUUUUU